UAUUAGAAAGCUCAUAGCCUUGAACUUUUAAUUCAAUCAAAAUAUAAAUUUAUAUAUUUCUAAUAA
rnacentral:tRNA from 1 species